GACGAACGCUGGCGGCGUGCUUAACACAUGCAAGUCGAACGGAAAGGCUCCAGCUUGCUGGAGUACUCGAGUGGCGAACGGGUGAGUAACACGUGGGUGAUCUGCCCUGCACUUCGGGAUAAGCCUGGGAAACUGGGUCUAAAACCGGAUAGGACCGCACUUUGGUGUGUGUGGUGGAAAGGUUUUUCUGGUGUGGGAUGAGCUCGCGGCCUGUCAGUUUGUUGGUGGGGUCAUGGCCUACCAAGACGGCGACGGGUAGCCGGCCUGAGAGGGUGGACGGUCACAUUGGGACUGAGAUACGGCCCAGACUCCUACGGGAGGCAGCAGUGGGGAAUAUUGCACAAUGGGGGAAACCCUGAUGCAGCGACGCCGCGUGGGGGAUGAAGGCCUGCGGGUUGUAAACUCCUUUCGCUAGGGACGAAGCAUUUUGUGACGGUACCUGGAGAAGAAGCACCGGCUAACUACGUG
rnacentral:rRNA from 1 species